CUGAUACCAACGUGUAUUUUGACUGUCAGGCUUAAUUUUAUCAGUUUCCAAUGUUAACUCAUGUUACCAAGAAUUUAUAGAGCUUGCUAUUCUUUUCCUCUCUAUUCAAUUUUAAUUCAACGCUCCAUCGUAAUAUGUUCAGUCUCCACAUUAUUUUCUCUUUUUCCUCUCACUCUAUCGCAUCUUCCCUCAUCCUUCCACCCUAUUUUUCUAAGGUUUCUCCUUGACCCUUUCGCUGAGUUUUGAUCAACGGAAAAUUGAUCAACGGAAAAUGUCCCUUUUUAAAUCCGCUCAAGAAGUUUAGGAAUCUGCUGCGAGGUAUUAUUCUUAUAUUCAACGCUCCAGUUUUGUCUUAAAUAUUUUAAUCCGAGCCAUUGAGAAUUUAUUUGCAGAUACCAAAUAUUUGUUUGAUCAAAUUAGUAUUAAAUUGUUCAUCAAUUGUUUUUAAUUUUUUUAGACAAAAUGUAUGUUGUUGGAUUCAUGCUUUGUUUCUGCAAAUAGAUGUUGUUGGUGGUUUGUUUUUAGCUCUUAACACAAUCUUAAUUAACUCUUUGGUUAAGCUUAUUAGGUUAAGCUUUAGUUUAACCCUAAUCAUAAUCUUGGAAUCAUCAAUUAGGUUUUGUGAGUUUUGGUUAUCUGUCUCUUUUUAUGUUUCAAGCAGAUUUUAGAUAAUUUUUGAAGUGUUUAGAGCAAAGGUUCUGUCAGAUUCUACGUGAUGCUAGAUUAUACUUUCAACAUGAUUUUCUUCACUAAUUCUCCUUUUUUUUUCUGUUCAUUUUUAGUUUUGGUUCUAUUCUGAAAAGUAAUUGAUUUAUUUUUAGUCUUGGUUCCAUUUUCUUUACUAAAAUUAUCAUCUUGGAAAUUGAACAUGAAUGCACAAGACUGUACUAUAACGAGAUUUAAUGUCAUAGAGUUAGAUUUUAAUGGGUACUACUAAUUUUCUUUUAAAAUGAGUAAAGUCUUUGAUAGUGUGGGUGUCUCCUUCUAUAGGUUUCAAAUUUCAAGUUAUACAUAUGUGAGUUUCUGUCAUAUGCGUGUAUUCUAAUCUCUUUCUUAAAUUUUGACAAGUCGGUGAUUUACAUGGUUUAAUAUUUUUUGAAGUGAUGCUUGGCAAAAUUGCAUGGUUUCUAUUGGGUUUAAUUGUUUGUAAGUUGUGUGAUUGAAACUAUAUGUGAUCCUUUUGUCUCUGUUGGCAUAAAUCAUAUUUUUUUCUCUCAAAUUUUUAAAUUUAUAUUGGUUGAAAUAAGGCUAAAGCAUAGCAUAGGAGCUUCAUUGGUUGUGAUUUUGACAGGUUCAAGUGUAUUGGAGUAGCCCAAAUCUCACCCUCAAAUAUAACUUUUUUGUCUUCAACAUGUUCAUUAUUAACUAUGUGGAAGGAAGAUUUGUUUUCCCUAUGCUUGCUAUCAGUACCAUCAUAAAUGAUAUGUGGAAGGAAGAAUCACCAAUGAAGCACUUUGACACCAACAAUGAGAGGUAAAUGAGCUAUUA
rnacentral:lncRNA from 1 species